AUUCAGCUGACGAAUCCCAAAAAAGACGAAACGCGCGUUCUGGAU
rnacentral:hammerhead_ribozyme from 1 species